CCCAUCACUUUUUUUUGGGAGGAAGUGCAGAAGGAUUUUAAUGAAUCACCUGAAAGUUUGCAGUCUUCAAUUGACAUAAAUACCACUGUGGGAUCCAUCUUGGAUUUUGCCAACUCUGAAAUGGUUGAUGUUAUAGUCAAUUCUUCAAAUCCUUCCUUAAAACUAAAAGAUGGGUUUGUAUCAUCACUUAUUUUGAAACAUGGUGGGCAGGGAAUACAGAAUGAAUGUGCAGAUAAAUAUAAAGAUGGCAUAGGCAUUGGAGAUAUUGCUGUCAGCUCUGCUGGAAAACUGAAAUGCAAGAAAAUAAUUCACUGUGUUUUAUCUGGCAGCUGGGUGUCAACUGGAAAUAUUUCU